rnacentral:rRNA from 1 species
CCUACGGGCCGCAGCAGUGGGGAAUUUUCCGCAAUGGGCGAAAGCCUGACGGAGCAAUGCCGCGUGGAGGUAGAAGGCCCACGGGUCGUGAACUUCUUUUCCCGGAGAAGAAGCAAUGACGGCAUCUUGGGAAUAAGCAUCGGCUAACUCUGUGCCAGCAGCCGCGGUAAUACAGAGGAUGCAAGCGUUAUCCGGAAUGAUUGGGCGUAAAGCGUCUGUAGGUGGCUUUUUAAGUCCGCCGUCAAAUCCCAGGGCUCAACCCUGGACAGGCGGUGGAAACUACCAAGCUGGAGUACGGUAGGGGCGGAGGGAAUUUCCGGUGGAGCGGUGAAAUGCGUAGAGAUCGGAAAGAACACCGACGGCGAAAGCACUCUGCUGGGCCGACACUGACACUGAGAGACGAAAGCUAGGCGAGCGAAUGGGAUUAGAUACCCGCGUAGUC